rnacentral:rRNA from 1 species
UGCGUAGGUGGCCAUGUAAGCGCGGGGUGAAAGGCAAUAGCUUAACUAUUGUAAGCCUUGCGAACUGUGUGGCUUGAGUGCAGGAGAGGAAAGUGGAAUUCCUAGUGUAGCGGUGAAAUGCGUAGAUAUUAGGAGGAACACCAGUGGCGAAGGCGACUUUCUGGACUGUAACUGACACUGGGGCGCGAAAGCGUGGGGAGCAAACAG